AGUGAACGCUGGCGGUAGGCCUAACACAUGCAAGUCGAACGGCAGCACAGUAAGAGCUUGCUCUUACGGGUGGCGAGUGGCGGACGGGUGAGGAAUACAUCGGAAUCUACUUUUUCGUGGGGGAUAACGUAGGGAAACUUACGCUAAUACCGCAUACGACCUACGGGUGAAAGCAGGGGAUCUUCGGACCUUGCGCGUUUGAAUGAGCCGAUGUCGGAUUAGCUAGUUGGCGGGGUAAAGGCCCACCAAGGCGACGAUCCGUAGCUGGUCUGAGAGGAUGAUCAGCCACACUGGAACUGAGACACGGUCCAGACUCCUACGGGAGGCAGCAGUGGGGAAUAUUGGACAAUGGGCGCAAGCCUGAUCCAGCAAUACCGCGUGGGUGAAGAAGGCCUUCGGGUUGUAAAGCCCUUUUGUUGGGAAAGAAAAGCAGCAGGUUAAUACCCCGCUGUUCUGACGGUACCCAAAGAAUAAGCACCGGCUAACUUCGUG
rnacentral:rRNA from 1 species